AAUUUUAGCAGUAACUAUAACGAUGACCACAGAACUUUACAAAUGUUUGUUGCACCAUGAUUUUUUUGUUAACAGUUAACGCUAAUGGGGUUGACAGUAUAAAAAGAUAAAUUAUCCCUAAAAACUGACGGGGAAAAUUAUUUGUUAUGACAACACUGUGAGCCUUAUGUCAAAUUUAUUUUCACGAAUCUCGUUUCGUGAGGUUAGGUUUGUGUUAUUAUAAUUGUUGUGUUUUUGUUGUGUCCGUCUGUUUGCCGAAUCAAGCACGGAUAUUGUAAUAGUAAUAAUGGAUGACUUCAAGACAAAGUGAGUUUAAUUUUAUGUUAAAUUUAUUAUACCUGAUAAAAAGUGCGCCACUACAUUAGUACAUUAUAACUUUUAGCCUAUGCAAGUUAAAUCAAGCGUGUUUUACUUAGGUCCUAUAUAAAAUAAUAUCUCAGUCCACACUUUUUAUUCAUACAACAUUGUUUAGAAAAUGUUUUAUUUAAUUGUUCAUACAAUAAAUAAAAAAAAACUAUGUGAAAUAACAUAAUUAAACAUCCAUAUGAAAAAUUCAUGGUAUAUUCCUUACUGCCUAUUGUUAUUUACCACAUUGAAUAAAGUAUUUGUUAUUUUUACAGGGAAAGAAGUGUCAAUUUUACUAAGGAAGAGAUUAGUCGAUUGCAGAUACUUGUAGACAAAUAUAAAAAUGUACUUAUGUGUAAAAAAACUGAUGGGAGUAGUACAAAACAAAAAGACCAUGCAUGGCACUGCAUCGCAAAGGAAUUUAAUGCUGUUGGUCAAGUACCUAGAAACAUGAAGCAGCUAAAAUAUAAAUUUGAAAAUAUGAAAAGAUCUGCAAAGAAGGUAGCAAGUAGAGAACGUCAGGAAAUGAGACGCACAGGUGGAGGAAAUCCUCCCUCACUUCCUCCAGAUUCAGAAGAUGCUACUGAUUGGUUAAGAUCCAUUAUGUCUGGAUCUAUUGAUGGAAAUGAGGCUAUAUAUGAUGAUGACAUUAUUUCCCAAAUUCCAUUGUUACAAUUCCCAUAAUUCACAAAGAUAAGGAUUUUGAUGAAAUUCCUCCUAUACAAAAAAAAGUGAAACUAGACACAAAUACUGAUAGUGAAAUUCAACAUGACAUGCCCAAUAUACUCAAGGAUGUUGUAGUCAACACAAUUAUUACAGAUCAAGACAAAAGUUUUGAUAAUGUUGAAAAUAUUGUCCCAGAUGAAGUUUUUGAUGCUAGUGCCCCACAUUCAUCACUAAAGAGACCAGUAGCACCACAACUAAGUCGUAUCAUAAAGAAAAAACAAGGGAAGAGUGAAAAUAUCAUAAAACAAGCACUAAGGGAAAAGAAACUGACAGUUUUAGAUGGCCUUCAUGAGUUGGAGAUGGAAAAGAUAAAGUUAUCUAUUAGUCACCAAAAUGAAUUACACAGCCAGUUACUGAGGCACAAUGAAGAAAAACAUAAGCUUGAAGUGGAUAAACUUAAACUUGAAAUAGAUAUUUUAAGGGAGAAAAAAUA